AGGUUAAGUGAAUAUUUGUCGUCUGCUAUAUACAUAUAUUUUGUAUUUUUCUCGAAAAAUCUCGCGUCGUUUCUCGAAAUGUGUGUAAAAAUCAUGUUGUGCGAUGAUGAACUAAAUAAUCCCUGUUGAACAAUAUUUAUAUUGAAGGUCAUACAAAAAUAAUCUGUUCUAAAUUCAACUAUUUCUUUAUUUGCGAAUAUUUAAAUGAAUUAUCAAAAAGGUUUCCCCCAAAAAACUUAGUAUAGUUAAAAUAUCUUAUCUUGAGAUUUAGAUUAAAAAAAAAAAUGGAUCCAGACGAGCCAAAAAGAAAAAAAUUAAAAUUACUAAUGAAGGCAUCUAUAACACAAAUGUUUGAUAUUUCAAAAGAUUGGAUGAAUGGUGAAAAAUAUGCAGUUUGCCGAAUGUGUUAUGAUCAACGUUCUAUAAAAAUGACAAAUUCAAAUACUUCAGGCCUACAUAGACAUCUAAAAUCUCAUCAUAGAAAAAUUUAUGAAGGAAUACUUAAUGAAUGUCAUGGAGAGGACGAAUCGCCCAAUACAAUUGACGUGGAUGAUUUACAAAAAGAACAAAGAGAACGAGAACAAAUUUCAAAAUCUGAAUUAAUGAAUAUGUUUGAUAUUAAACGUGAUGAUAUUCAUAGUGAUAAAUACGCGGUCUGUAAAUUAUGCGACGAUUAUCGGGUUAUAAAGAUGACUAGAUCGAAUACAUCAGGACUACAUAGGCAUGCUACUAGAUAUCAUAAUAAAAUUUACAACAAAGAAACACAAGAUGAAACUUAUGAAGAGAUGUCAGAUUUCCCGGCGGAGGGGGGUGAAAAUGGAGAUAUGCACGCCGUUAUGGAAAAUUUUCAGAAAAAAAAUAAUUUAAUUGGUGGAAGGACACAUGUAACUCACCAUCCACAAGUCACAUCAUCGUCACAGAUGCUGACAAAUCAGAGCCAGAGCAGUAGUUCGAGUACAACCACCACGAGUAGUACGAGUAGGGUGGCUAAAUCCUCGCAGAGGAUUCUCACCUCCUCAUCGAGUGAAAUGAAAACAAGUUGUGUGAAAAAAAAUCUCCAAGAAAUUCAACAGGGUAUGGCCGAAAUGAGAAAUAUCUCAACAAAUUUCUCGCACAGACUGCGUAAUAGUAUGGAAAAUCUUGUCGAUCGGGAUGGAAAUGGAACUGAGGAGGGAGACCUCACAGAGCCUUUGGUAACAUUUCCAGAUCCUGACACACCACCACCUGUUACUGGUACUGUUUCAAUUACAGGAUCACCAUCACAACUCACAUCUCUAAAUAAUCUUCACAGUAUAAGUCCACCGUUAAAUAUCACUAAUAUGCCAAGUUUAACAAGCGGUCAAGAAACAAUGAAAUUUGAGCAGAAAAAAAUGACGAGCGCCUCGAAAACAAAGGUCGUCACAGAUGGUUUUAGUGCGGAAAAAGCGAUUGCUAACACAGCUGAAAUGAGAGCAGUUCAAGCUGGUGAUGUAUCAUAUAAGGAACAAAGCGCAGCAAGCGCUGCAAGGGCACGUGUUGAAAUUGAUGGGGUUUCUGCUGAAAAAAGCGUCGCUGCUGCGAGAGAGCAAAGGAGCUUGAAAGCCGGCGAUCUUUCACAUCAGGAAAGCAAUAAUAUGGCAGCGUCUACCAUGAAAUUGCAGAGCGAUUCAUUUAGCACAGAAAAGAAAGCAAUGGCUGCCCAACAGCAACGACAAACAGUAACAUCAUCGGGUGUAUUUAAUCACGAGAAAGUUGUUGCUGCCACAUCACAAUCAAGUAUAUCGUACAAUUCAAAAAAUGUCACAUCCAAAUCGUCAAUGAUAAGCGCAGCGAGUGCAGUGAAUCAAAUAAUGAAUGGUAUACGUUAUAAUGACGAUGAACUUUUAUCAUUGCCAUUAGAUGAUCUCGAUUUACUAUGCACAAAUUCAAAUCCCCAAGAUGUUGAUACGGCAAUAAAAAAAUAUUCUGGAUUUCUCGAUACAUUUGUGCAACGACUGAAAACUGAUGAGGUUAGUGCAAGUGGUAAAGCGCCACUUUUAUUAAAUCGUGUCAAUGAAAUUAUUCGCAAAGCAUGGGCUGUUCCAACUCAUGGACAUGAAUUAGGCUAUUCUUUAUGUAAUGCACUACGCAAUAAAGGCGGUUUAGAUAUUCUCAUGUCAAAUUGUAUUGCAAGCGAUGAGGAUCUACAAUUUUCAUCAGCCCAAUUACUCGAACAAUGUUUAACCACUGAGAAUCGUGCUCAUGUGGUGCAAAAUGGAUUGGAGAAAGUUGUUAAUGUUGCUUGUGUUUGUACAAAAAAUGCUAAUUCAGUAGAUCAUUCACGUGUUGGUACUGGAAUAUUGGAACAUCUUUUUAAGCAUAGCGAAGGUACAUGCAGUGAUGUAGUGAGACUCGGUGGUCUUGAUGCCGUUCUUUUUGAAUGUCGAAAAAAUGAUGUUGAAACAUUAAGACAUUGUGCCGGUGCAUUGGCAAAUUUAUCACUUUAUGGAGGUGCCGAAAAUCAAGAGGCAAUGAUUAAACGAAAAGUUCCAAUGUGGCUAUUUCCAUUGGCAUUUCAUAAUGAUGAUAAUAUUAAAUAUUAUGCGUGUCUUGCAAUUGCUGUACUUGUUGCCAAUAAUGAAAUUGAAGCAGCUGUACUUUCAUCAGGUACACUUGAUCUUGUUGAACCAUUUGUAACAUCGCAUAAUCCAUAUGAAUUUGCAAAAUCAAAUCUUGCACAUGCACAUGGUCAAAGUAAAAAUUGGCUUCAACGACUUGUGCCAGUAUUAAGUUCAAAACGUGAGGAGGCAAGAAAUCUUGCGGCAUUUCAUUUUUGUAUGGAGGCAGGUAUUAAAAAGCAACAGGCAAAAACAGAAAUAUUUCGUGCAAUUGGUGCAAUUGAACCAUUAAAAAAAGUUGCUAGCUCACCAAAUGCAAUAGCAUCAAAAUAUGCGGCACAAGCAUUACGAUUAAUUGGCGAGGAAGUUCCACAUAAAUUAAGUCAACAAGUACCAUUAUGGUCGACAAAAGAUGUAAUGGAAUGGGUGAAACAAAUUGGUUUUGAAGAAUUGGCAAUGAAUUUUGUUGAUAGUCGAGUUGAUGGUGAUUUAUUAUUACAAUUAACCGAGGAUAAUUUAAAAGAAGACAUUGGCUUAACGAAUGGAAUUAGAAGACGACGAUUUACACGUGAAUUGCAAAAUUUAAAAAAAAUGGCUGACUAUAGUAGUCGAGAUACGGGUAAUCUUAGCAGUUUUCUACAGUCAAUGGGUCAAGAAUUUUCAAUAUAUACAUACAGUAUGUUAAAUGCCGGCGUUGAUAAGGAUUCAAUAAAAAAUCUUAAUGAAGAUCAAUUAAUCACUGAAUGUGGAAUUUCAAAUAGUAUUCAUAGAUUACGAAUAUUGGAUGCUAUUAAAAAUAUGCAACACAAUCAAUUUAAUUCCUAUGAAAGUGAAUCGCCUGAUAAAUCAUUAGAUGUUUUUGUCAGUUAUCGAAGAUCAAAUGGAUCACAAUUAGCGAGUCUUCUUAAAGUACAUUUACAAUUAAGGGGAUUUUCCGUUUUUAUUGAUGUCGAGAGACUUGAGGCUGGUAAAUUUGAUAAUAAUCUACUGCAUAGUAUUCGACAAGCUAAACAUUUUCUUCUUGUUUUAACACCAAAGGCACUUGAAAGAUGCUUUCAGGAUACCGAGUGUAAGGACUGGGUUCAUAGGGAAAUUGUGGCUGCCCUACAAUCACAAUGCAAUAUCAUUCCUAUAAUAGAUAAUUUCGCUUGGCCUGAACCAGAGGAAUUACCCGAGGAUAUGAGAGCUGUUUGUCAUUUUAAUGGGGUUCGUUGGAUUCACGAUUAUCAAGAUGCCUGCGUAGACAAAUUAGAAAGGUUUAUGCGAGGUGAAAUACCAGUACGAUCAGAAUUAUCAGGAGGUCUUCCUAGAAGUAUUGGCUCUAAGGAUUUACCAACACCUGGAACACCAGGAAGUACAAAUAUGCGACAACCACCAAGUUAUCAACGAAUGCACAGCAAUGAAAGCAAAGGAAGUGAUAAAGAUUCAAUUAGCGGUAAAGAUUCAAUCAGCGGAAAAGAUUCAAUCAGUGGGAAAGAUUGACUAGAUGGCCCGCCCACAGCAAUACCCGUUAGCCGGAAUUAAGAAAUGUAAUUUACAUAAUGAGAAUUAGAUUACGAAAAUCAUCAAUUCCAUCUGUUCGAUUGAUGAGUCUUCCUCCAUCAGCUCGAGUGAAAUUUAUUCACACACAUCCUGGAGGAAACCCAAUGCCUCGCCGUCCACCACGUCAUCCAUCAUCACCAUCAAUACGUUCAUCUCGUUCACUCGAAUUAUUAGAUCCAAUGGAGAAAAAAGUAAUUUUAACUGUGGCAAAAAAUCCUCAACCACUACCAAGACCAAGAUCAAGAAGUUUAGAUGGCUUAAUUGAUGAUGAGGAUGGUAUUAUUGCAAAUCUUAAAAAUAAUGAUAACUCAACAGCCAUUGAAAAUUCAAUAAUUAAUACUAAAUAUCAUAUUAAAAAUCAAAGUUUAAAUGAAAUUUUAGAAUCUACAAAUAAUUCCAAUGAAAAUCCUUUUCCCUUGCCUCGAAAUAGAAGAACUUUUAGUAUAACUCAAAAAUCUGAUAUUAAAGCCAUUGAUAAAAGUAAUAAAGAUGAAGAGAAUUUAUCGAAUUUAAUAAAAAUUUAUAACACCGAGGAUAAAAGUGAAAAAUUAUUUUUCAACAUUUCUAAUGAUAAUUUAAAUCAAAUGACAAAAAUGGAUAUAGAAAAAAAUCCUAAAGAAUUGAAAAAUUUUCCAAAAUCAAAAAAUAUCGAAGAAUUAGAUAAAUUUUCAAAAAAUUCAAAUCAAUUUGAAAUUAUUGAUUUGAAAAAAAAUUCAGAACAAUUAGAAAAUCAAUUAGAAAUAAAUAUUAAUAAUAUUGAGAGAUUGGAAAAAUUGUCAGAAAAUUCCAAAAUCAAUGAAAAAAAAUUGUCUAAAGUGGAAAAUGAAAAAUCAACAUUAUUAAAAGCCAAAAGCUGUGGCGCGGGAUUAGAUUCCGAUGAUAAUUAUUCGCAAGAGUACAAACCUGUGAUUAAGGGCCAAGGUUCAUUAUUAUCUCUAUCAACUGGAGCGGAUCCAAAACGAAAGAGAAAUUUUAUGGAUAAAUGCGUAAAUAAGGUGCGGUCCUUUAUUAAAAAAAAUGACUGACAAAAAAAACAUAUAUAUAUACUUUUUCAAGGAACCAAAAAAACCUUGAAAUUUUAAUGGUGAUAAAGAACUCGUUAUUUAAUUUUUUUUCUCCUCUUUUUUUUUUUUUAAUUACACAAUUAGACGUCGUUUAUAAAUCGAAACGAGUAUUUUUUUUUUGAAAUUAAAAUAAUUUUCAAAAAUCGUUUGAAAGCGCGAUAAAAAAAUGUUUUCAUUUUCUACAAUCAUUGUGCCUGAUGCAACAUAAAGUGUCUUGAAAAAAAAAAUCCAUUUGUAUUAUAGAUUCACUUUAGUUAGAAAUUAAAUUUUUAAUUUUUUUUUUAGCGAUUUUGUCAUGGCAUUCUGUGCCUUAAGUAUUUUUAUCAUUAUUUAAUUGAAAACUUGCGACAGUGUUCAAUUAUACUAACCCGUCAAUUAGUCAUUUUCGUAACAUGUAUUUAAAAGUUAUUAUUAUCAUUUCUAUUAUUAUUAUUAUUACUAUUAUUAUUUAACUAUAUUAUUAUAUUUUGUUAUUGUCAAAGUUUAUGUCCGUAACUAUUUAUCCAAUAAUACUUUUAAAAAAAACAACAACAAUGCUUCACAAACAUUUUUAUGAUUGUUUCUAAAACUAUAAUGUGUAUAUUUUACCAAAGUUGCAGCAAUUUUAGAAAAAUUAUUAUGAAAUGACUAAAUAAUUCACUGAAAUAAAUGAUUUUAUUUAGAAAAAAUUGAA